GGUCGCGUGGCCCAAUGGCAAGGCGUCUGACUACGACUUCGUCGAGUUCAUCUCGGGACUUGAAUCGUGAAGAGCGAUAAUCAGGAGAUUGCGGGUUCGAUCCCCGUCGUGACCU
rnacentral:tRNA from 1 species